rnacentral:rRNA from 1 species
GGACUACUGGGGUAUCUAAUCCUGUUUGCUCCCCACGCUUUCGUGCUUUAGUGUCAGUACCGGACCAGUUGACCGCCUUCGCCACUGGUGUUCUUUCUGAUAUCUACGCAUUUCACUGCUACACCAGAAAUUCCAUCAACCUCUUCCGUACUCAAGCCUUGCAGUAUCAAAGGCAGUUCCAGAGUUAAGCCCUGGGCUUUCACCUCUGACUUGCAAGACCACCUGAGCACCCUUUACACCCAGUAAAUCCGGACAACGCUUGCCCCCUACGUAUUACCGCGGCUGCUGGCAC